UUUUUAGAAUAAGUAUGUCUCACGCAAUAUUUGAAACAUACUUAUUCUAAAA
rnacentral:pre_miRNA from 2 species